rnacentral:rRNA from 1 species
GAUGAACGCUGGCGGCGUGCUUAACACAUGCAAGUCGAGCGAUGAAGCACCUUCGGGUGUGAAUUAGCGGCGAACGGGUGAGGAACACGUGAGAAAUCUGCCUUCAACUCUGGGAUAACUCCGGGAAACCGGGGCUAAUACCGGAUAUGAGCCUUGAUCGCAUGAUCGGGGCUGGAAAGUUUUUCGGUUGAAGAUGAUCUCGCGGCCUUUCAGCUUGUUGGUGAGGUAAUGGCUCACCAAGGCGACGACGGGUAGCCGGCCUGAGAGGGCGACCGGCCACACUGGGACUGAGACACGGCCCAGACUCCUACGGGAGGCAGCAGUGGGGAAUAUUGGGCAAUGGAGGAAACUCUGACCCAGCGACGCCGCGUGAGGGAUGAAGGCCUUCGGGUUGUAAACCUCUUUCAGUAGGGAAGAAGCGAAAGUGACGGUACCUACAGAAGAAGCACCGGCUAACUAUGUGCCAGCAGCCGCCGCGG